GUCAAACGCCUUUUCGGCAUCCAGGGAAAGCAAUAACGUGGGGGACCCUUUACGUGUAGCCGCCCAGAUCAGGUCAUAUGUACGUCUGGUAUUGUCACUGGCCUGUCUAUGCGGGAUGAAACCCACCUGGUCUGGGUGGAUCAACCUCGGAAGGUGGGGUUGUAGCCUAUUUGCAAGAAGCUUAGUGAGUAUCUUAAUAUCCACAUUGAGAAGCGAAAUGGGCC